AUUGAACGCUGGCGGCAGGCCUAACACAUGCAAGUCGAAUGGUAACAGGAAACAGCUUGCUGUUUCGCUGACGAGUGGCGGACGGGUGAGUAAUGUCUGGGAAACUGCCUGAUGGAGGGGGAUAACUACUGGAAACGGUAGCUAAUACCGCAUAACGUCGCAAGACCAAAGAGGGGGACCUUCGGGCCUCUUGCCAUCAGGUGUGCCCAGAUGGGAUUAGCUAGUAGGUGGGGUAACGGCUCACCUAGGCGACGAUCCCUAGCUGGUCUGAGAGGAUGACCAGCCACACUGGAACUGGGACACGGUCCAGACUCCUACGGGAGGCAGCAGUGGGGAAUAUUGCACAAUGGGCGCAAGCCUGAUGCAGCCAUGCCGCGUGUAUGAAGAAGGCCUUCGGGUUGUAAAGUACUUUCAGCGGGGAGGAAGGGAGUAAAGUUAAUACCUUUGCUCAUUGACGUUACCCGCAGAAGAAGCACCGGCUAACUCCGUG
rnacentral:rRNA from 1 species